UACGGAGGGUGCAAGCGUUAUCCGGAUUUACUGGGUUUAAAGGGUGCGUAGGUGGGUAGGUAAGUCAGUGGUGAAAUCUUCGAGCUUAACUCGGAAACUGCCAUUGAUACUAUUUAUCUUGAAUACUUUGGAGGUAAGCGGAAUAUGUCAUGUAGCGGUGAAAUGCUUAGAUAUGACAUAGAACACCAAUUGCGAAGGCAGCUUACUACACAGUUAUUGACACUGAGGCACGAAAAGCGUGGGGAUCAAACAGG
rnacentral:rRNA from 1 species